rnacentral:lncRNA from 1 species
GUUUUUUUGUUUUUUUUGUUUUUUUUUUCAGUUUAAUUUUCCAGGCUGGCAUUGGACUCGCAGAGCCAGUCAUAUCCCGGGCUCUCAAUCUAUGAUUAUAGCUAUGUGUUGUAUGCCAGCCCUCGGCCUACAAGAACCUGGUACACCUGGGAGGCAGGCUGGGGCGGAAAGAGAGUUAGACUUCGAGAGAAAUUAAUGGAGACCAAGACAUGAUUCUGUUCAAGACUUGCCAGUUUACUAGGAGAGUAUGCUUAUAAGGGGGAAGACCCAUCCCCCGCCAGUCCAUUCUUGGUGUCUGGAGCCAGCCUGCAGGUGACUGGCAGGAUAGGAAGUUCCUCCGGAAUAUCUCAGGGGCCUCUCAGCAGGUAGCAGUGUCUUGGAGCAGUGGCUAGUGACAGAACAAAAGAGCCCUCUAGGUCAUAAGGCUCCACCCUUGGUAAUCUCCUUACUGGCAGCAAGGUCAAAGUCUGGAUCAGCCUGCUUCAAGGCUGGGGGAGGCUACACUAUACUCCAGGCUGAAAAGAUUUUAAAUGUUGGUUUAAAUAUAUAAAAUGUUCCUUUUGCCCUGUACAACAGAAUUACUGGGUGAAUCUUGGUUCCAGGCACUAGCCAACAACUCAACAGAUCUCAAAGAAACCAGUACUUUUAUCAAAGUCAAUCAGUUUUGUUUUCUGACAAACUAUCCUUCAAACAAGUGCCAUACUUUCACACAUGGACUCCACAGCUAAAGAAAGAAAUACAGAACAAAGCUUUGGAGAUCGUUCAUCCUAUCCAUCAAGACAGCACACAAGACAUCAAGAGGAAUGGGAUCAGAAGAUGCACUGUUAGUACAGUGGGCUACAAACCUUCUACCAAAUUGAACAGUCAGUCAGUCAGCAGCGUGUGGCAAGCACAAAUCAUUUUUUCAUGCUGUGAAAUGGAACCUGAUCUUAAGUAAGCUGAAAGUGACUUCAAUACCAGAGCUCUACCUACAGAGCAAUAAUAAAUAAUGCUUCG